rnacentral:rRNA from 1 species
UACGAAGGGGGCUAGCGUUGCUCGGAAUCACUGGGCGUAAAGGGUGCGUAGGCGGGUCUUUAAGUCAGGGGUGAAAUCCUGGAGCUCAACUCCAGAACUGCCUUUGAUACUGGCGAUCUCGAGUCCGGGAGAGGUGAGUGGAACUGCGAGUGUAGAGGUGAAAUUCGUAGAUAUUCGCAAGAACACCAGUGGCGAAGGCGGCUCACUGGCCCGGUACUGACGCUGAGGUGCGAAAGCGUGGGAGCAAACAGGG